rnacentral:rRNA from 2 species
UGGGGAAUAUUGCACAAUGGGCGCAAGCCUGAUGCAGCCAUGCCGCGUGUAUGAAGAAGGCCUUCGGGUUGUAAAGUACUUUCAGCGGGGAGGAAGGGAGUAAAGUUAAUACCUUUGCUCAUUGACGUUACCCGCAGAAGAAGCACCGGCUAACUCCGUGCCAGCAGCCGCGGUAAUACGGAGGGUGCAAGCGUUAAUCGGAAUUACUGGGCGUAAAGCGCACGCAGGCGGUUUGUUAAGUCAGAUGUGAAAUCCCCGGGCUCAACCUGGGAACUGCAUCUGAUACUGGCAAGCUUGAGUCUCGUAGAGGGGGGUAGAAUUCCAGGUGUAGCGGGGAAAUGCGUAGAGAUCUGGAGGAAUACCGGUGGCGAAGGCGGCCCCCUGGACGAAGACUGACGCUCAGGUGCGAAAGCGUGGGGAGCAAACAGG